AAAAAUGCAACUGAAAUGCAAAAAAAGGAUUGUGCAGUGUAUGGAGAAGGUGCUGUGACUGAUGGAACAUGUCAAAAGUGGUUUGUGAAGUUUCAUGCUGGAGAUUUCUCACUGGGCAAUGCUCCAUGGUCGGGUAGACCAGUUGAAGUUGAUGGCGAUCAAACUGAGACUUUACUUGAGAACAAUCAACGUUAUACCACGCAGGAGAUGGCCGACAUACUCAAAAUAUCCAAAUCAAGUGUUGAAAAUCAUUUGCACCAGCUUGGUUACUUUAAUUGCUUUGAUGUUUGGGUUUCACAUAAGUUAAACGAAAAAACCCUUCUUGACCAUAUUUCUGCAGGAGAUUCUCUAUUUAAACGUAAUGAAAAUGUUUCGUUUUUAAAACAAAUUGUGACAGGGGAUGAAAAGUGGAUAGUGCACAAUAAUGUGGAAAGGAAGAGAUCGUAGGGCAAGUGAAAUGAACCACCACCAACCACACCAAAGGCCGGUCUUCAUCCAAAGAAGGUGAUGUUGUGUAUAUGGUGGGAUUGGAAGGGAGUCCUCUAUUGUGAGCUCCUUCUAGAAAAUAAACGAUUAAUUCCAACAAGUACUGCUCCCAAUUAGACCAACUGAAAGCAGCACUUGACAAAAAGUGUCCGGAAUUAGUCAACAGAAAAUGCAUAAUCUUCCAUCAGGAUAACACGAGACUACGUGUUUCUUUGAUGACUAGGCAAAAACUGUCACAGCUUGUCUGGGAAGUUCUGAUUCAUCUGCUGUACUCACCACACAUUGCACCUUCGGAUUUCCAUUUAUUUAGGUCUUUACAAAAUUCUCUUAAUGAAAAAAAUUUAAAUUCCCUGGAAGACUGUAAAAGGCACCUGGAACAGUUCUUUGCUUGAAAAGAUAAAGAAUUUUGGGAAGACUGAAUUAUGAAGUUGCCUGGAAAAUGGCUGAAGUUAGUGCAACAAAACGGUGAAUAUGUUCAAUAAAGUUCUUGGUGAAAAUGAAAAAUUUGUCUUUUAUUUUUAUUUAAAAACUGAAGGAACCUUUUGGCCAACCCAAUAAUUUAGUGUUAAAAAUAUAUGAAAAUUUUAUGUAUGUCUACACAUACACACACAGAGACUUGCACAUGUACAUAUAUCUAUCUAUCUAUAUAUAUACCUGUCUGUAGAUACACAGAUUAUUUCUGUAAGAACAAAGAAGAACUGUUCAGAGUGAUUGCUUUUGUGGAGGAGAACUGGAUGUCUGGGUAGAGAAGCAGAAGUAGAAUGGAAUGCAAGAAGCAACUGUAAGCAUAUAAAUCAGUAAAACGUAUUGAUCAUUCUAAAUGAACAUUUUCGGUUAUAAUAAUUAUUGGCUUUUUAAAGUAGAUCUAAAUAUAGAUAACACUAACUUCUUACUCUGUUUUUUGUUUGUUUGUUUUGGUUUUGGUUUUUGGCUGCACUGCAUGGCAUGUAGUAUCUUAGUUCCCCAACCAGGGAUCAAACCUGCGCCCCCUGCAUUGGAAGCGCAGAGUCUUAACCACUGGACCAUCAGGGAAGUCCCUAACUUCUUACUCUGAAGUGGAGCUGCCGUCCUGCUCAUUGGAAGCCGUGUCUACUUUAGCUAUUGGAGCUUGUCGUCGAAGAUUUUAUGAAGAAAGAAUGACUCACCAACUCCUAAAAUCAUCAACUUCAAGGGCCUUCUCAAAAUCAGAGGUUACAAAGGGGACGGGAAUGGUGCAUGUGGCAGAUGUCAGAUGAGGACAAGUGCCAUGAAGAAAAAAUAUCUAUCAGACUAAGGGGAAAGAAGGAGUGACUGGAGUGUUUGUGCACAUGUGUGUGCACGCAAGCACAGGAGUCAUUGAAUUACAAGGGGAAGCUAGGGAAGACCUCUCUGAGAAGAAGACAUCAAGAGAGACCUGAGGAAUAAGGAGAACAAACCAUGAGAAGUCAGUGGAACAGUUCACCUCCACUCCAGCUUCUACCACCAAAGUUCAUAGAUGACUCCUUAUAGGACUCAACAAAGCAAAGGAUCUACCAGCAACAGAACCAAACUUCCACGGGCAUUUUGCCACUAUGUUUUGUUAACAGUUCCUUAUGGUCUUUGCCCUAAUUCCUAAGAGGCUAAUUAAUCAAAAUGUGUCUUCUAAACAAAUCACUCACCUGAAAUAAGAAUCACAGGCCAGGUUGUCAAUGUGUCUAAGCUUUUAAGUAGAAUUCUUAUAAAUCAAAUCCAGAAAAAUAA